rnacentral:rRNA from 1 species
AGCAGCCGCGGUAAUUCCAGCUCCAAUAGCGUAUAUUAAAGUUGUUGCAGUUAAAAAGCUCGUAGUUGAAUUUCGGGGUCAAUACGUCGGUCGUGCCUCCGGUAUGUACUAGUGUUAUUGAUCCCUCCCUUCUGAUAAACCAUGAUGUCAUUAAUUUGGUGUCGUGGGGAGUCAGGACUGUUACUUUGAAAAAUUAGAGUGUUUAAAGCAGGCUCACGCUUGAAUACAUUAGCAUGGAAUAAUGAAAUAGGACGUUCGACCCUAUUUUGUUGGUUUCUAGGAUCAACGUAAUGAUUAAUAGGGAUAGUUGGGGGCAUUAGUAUUCAAUUGUCAGAGGUGAAAUUCUUGGAUUUAUUGAAGACUAACUACUGCGAAAGCAUUUGCCAAGGAUGUUUUCAUUAAUCAAGAACGAAAGUUAGGGGAUCGAAGACGAUCAGAUACCGUCGUAGUCUUAACCAUAAACUAUGCCGACUAGGGAUCGGAUGAUGU